UACGUAGGGCGCAAGCGUUAUCCGGAAUUAUUGGGCGUAAAGAGCUCGUAGGCGGUUUGUCGCGUCUGCCGUGAAAGUCCGAGGCUCAACUCCGGAUCUGCGGUGGGUACGGGCAGACUAGAGUGAUGUAGGGGAGACUGGAAUUCCUGGUGUAGCGGUGAAAUGCGCAGAUAUCAGGAGGAACACCGAUGCGAAGGCAGGUCUCUGGGCAUUAACUGACGCUGAGGAGCGAAAAGCAUGGGGAGCGAACAGG
rnacentral:rRNA from 1 species